rnacentral:pre_miRNA from 1 species
UCACCUCCGCAGGCUGCCGGGCCCCAGGCUGGGCUGGGGAAGUAUCUCUUCGAAAGGCUCACCCUCAGGCAUGACUAGGAGC